rnacentral:rRNA from 1 species
ACAAUGAAGAGUUUGAUCCUGGCUCAGGAUGAACGCUAGCUACAGGCUUAACACAUGCAAGUCGAGGGGCAUCAGGAAGAAAGCUUGCUUUCUUUGCUGGCGACCGGCGCACGGGUGAGUAACACGUAUCCAACCUGCCCUUUACUCGGGGAUAGCCUUUCGAAAGAAAGAUUAAUACCCGAUAGCAUAAUGAUUCCGCAUGGUUUCAUUAUUAAAGGAUUCCGGUAAAGGAUGGGGAUGCGUUCCAUUAGGUUGUUGGUGAGGUAACGGCCCACCAAGCCUUCGAUGGAUAGGGGUUCUGAGAGGAAGGUCCCCCACAUUGGAACUGAGACACGGUCCAAACUCCUACGGGAGGCAGCAGUGAGGAAUAUUGGUCAAUGGGCGAUAGCCUGAACCAGCCAAGUAGCGUGAAGGAUGAAGGCUCUAUGGGUCGUAAACUUCUUUUAUAUAAGAAUAAAGUGCAGUAUGUAUACUGUUUUGUAUGUAUUAUAUGAAUAAGGAUCGGCUAACUCCGUGCCAGCAGCCGCGGUAAUACGGAGGAUCCGAGCGUUAUCCGGAUUUAUUGGGUUUAAAGGGAGCGUAGGUGGACUGGUAAGUCAGUUGUGAAAGUUUGCGGCUCAACCGUAAAAUUGCAGUUGAUACUGUCAGUCUUGAGUACAGUAGAGGUGGGCGGAAUUCGUGGUGUAGCGGUGAAAUGCUUAGAUAUCACGAAGAACUCCGAUUGCGAAGGCAGCUCACUGGACUGCAACUGACACUGAUGCUCGAAAGUGUGGGUAUCAAACAGGAUUAGAUACCCUGGUAGUCCACACAGUAAACGAUGAAUACUCGCUGUUUGCGAUAUACAGUAAGCGGCCAAGCGAAAGCAUUAAGUAUUCCACCUGGGGAGUACGCCGGCAACGGUGAAACUCAAAGGAAUUGACGGGGGCCCGCACAAGCGGAGGAACAUGUGGUUUAAUUCGAUGAUACGCGAGGAACCUUACCCGGGCUUAAAUUGCAGUGGAAUGAUGUGGAAACAUGUCAGUGAGCAAUCACCGCUGUGAAGGUGCUGCAUGGUUGUCGUCAGCUCGUGCCGUGAGGUGUCGGCUUAAGUGCCAUAACGAGCGCAACCCUUAUCUUCAGUUACUAACAGGUUAUGCUGAGGACUCUGGAGAGACUGCCGUCGUAAGAUGUGAGGAAGGUGGGGAUGACGUCAAAUCAGCACGGCCCUUACGUCCGGGGCUACACACGUGUUACAAUGGGGGGUACAGAAGGCAGCUAGCGGGUGACCGUAUGCUAAUCCCAAAAGCCUCUCUCAGUUCGGAUCGAAGUCUGCAACCCGACUUCGUGAAGCUGGAUUCGCUAGUAAUCGCGCAUCAGCCACGGCGCGGUGAAUACGUUCCCGGGCCUUGUACACACCGCCCGUCAAGCCAUGGGAGCCGGGGGUACCUGAAGUACGUAACCGCAAGGAUCGUCCUAGGGUAAAACUGGUGACUGGGGCUAAGUCGUAACAAGGUAGCCGUACCGGAAGGUGCGGCUGGAACACCUCCUUU